rnacentral:rRNA from 1 species
AAUGAACGUUGGCGGCAUGGAUUAGGCAUGCAAGUCGAGCGAGAAGUCUUUUUUGCUUGCAUUAAAGACGGACAGCGGCGAAAGGGAGAGUAACGCGUAGAAAUGUACCCCAAGGUCUGGGAUAGCGGCGGGAAACUGCCAGUAAUACCAGAUAAUGUCUCCGGACCAAAGUUUUUCGCCUUGGGAGCAGUCUGCGUACUAUUAGCUUGUUGGUGGGGUAAAGGCCUACCAAGGCUUAGAUGGUUAGCGGGCGUGAGAGCGUGGCCCGUCUCACUGGGACUGAGACACUGCCCAGACGUCUACGGACGGCUGCAGUCGAGAAUCUUCCGCAAUGGGCGAAAGCCUGACGGAGCAAUGCCGCGUGGUGGAUGAAGGCCUCGGGUUGUAAACACCUGUCAGUAGAAGGAAAUUUUGACCGAUCUACAGAGGAAGUCCGGGCUAAGUACGUGCCAGCAGCCGCGGUAA